GACGAACGCUGGCGGCGUGCUUAACACAUGCAAGUCGAACGGACAGGCCCUGCUCUUGUGGGGUGCUCGAGUGGCGAACGGGUGAGUAACACGUGAGUAACCUGCCCUUGACUUUGGGAUAACUUCAGGAAACUGGGGCUAAUACCGGAUAGGAGCUCCUGCUGCAUGGGGUUGGUUGGAAAGUUUCGGCGGUAGGGGAUGGACUCGCGGCUUAUCCGCUUGUUGGUGGGGUAGUUGCUUACCAAGGCUUUGACGGGUAGCCGGCCUGAGAGGGUGACCGGCCACAUUGGGACUGAGAUACGGCCCAGACUCCUACGGGAGGCAGCAGUGGGGAAUAUUGCACAAUGGGCGGAAGCCUGAUGCAGCAACGCCGCGUGCGGGAUGACGGCCUUCGGGUUGUAAACCGCUUUCGCCUGUGACGAAGCGUGAGUGACGGUAAUGGGUAAAGAAGCACCGGCUAACUACGUG
rnacentral:rRNA from 1 species